rnacentral:tRNA from 1 species
GGCAGGGAGUGGCUGAAUAGUACAGCAUCUGCUUUGCAUGCAGAAGUUCCCAGGUUCAAUCACUGGAGCCAUGCUG